rnacentral:rRNA from 1 species
AUGGUCAUCUGGACCACCAUAUCUACUAGCUUUGAUGCGACAUCGGUGACAAGUAAAAUACUGGAAGACGCUACGCGCGUGAAACCGAGCAGCGAUCAUUUGGAACCACUACAACGGGACCUCAAAGAGAAACUCGCAUUCAUUAAUUUUUUGUUAGUUCUAGAUGACGUUUGGGAAGAUAAGAAGAGAGAUGAAUGGGAGAAGUUAUUUGCUCCUCUGAAGGAACUGAACACUACUGGGAGCAAAAUUCUGUUGACAACCCGAAUGCAAUCUGUAGCAGACAUGGCUGCAAAGGUGAUGGGGGUCGAAAGGGAUAAGUUCUUGACAUUACAAGGACUGGAAGAUGAUAAAAAUCUCAAGCUCUUCAAUCAUCAUGCCUUUUCCGGUUUGAAUCCAAGAGAUUCAUAUUUGGAGUUAAUUGGAGAACAAAUUGCAAAGAAACUGAGAGGAUGUCCCUUGGUAACGAAGGUUGUCGCUGAGCAUCUGCAAAGCAAUAUGACACCUGAAUACUGGAGAAGAUUCUUGCAUCAAGGAUUGGAACAUUUUAAAGGAACCGAAAAAGAUAUUAUGAAUGUUCUCAGAUUGAGCUACUACCACUUACCAACAGAGCUACAGAUUUGUUUUCGGUAUUGUUGCAUAUUUCCGCAGGACUAUAGAUUUGGAAAGAAACAAUUGGUGCAAAUGUGGAUUGGUUCUGGAUUAAUUGCAAGUGGCAUUCAAUCUUUGGAGGAUACCGCAGAACAAUUCUUGGCUCAGCUAACUAGAAAGUCGUUCUUUGAUAUGAAACCUAUAACUUUUGGAUGGGAAGAAAAAGAAAGUUAUGUAAUGCAUGACUUGAUGCAUGAAUUAGCAAGCAAUGUGUCCACCGGUGAAUGUGCAAGAAUAUGUGAUCCUGUUCAACUUCAAGAUGAGAAGUAUACAGUCCGACACCUAUGCAUUGUCAAUAUUCACAGUUUCUCUGCUGAUGAGGUCAAGAAAAUCUCCCAUUUUAAGAAUCUACGCACUAUUAUCAUUCGUGAUAUCCCGCUAGUUGAAAAUGCUACUGUUUGCGCACUUCAAAUGAUAGUUGAGACCUCAAAAUCACUGCGACUAUUAUAUGCAGAAUUACGAAACCAAUCCUGUUUUGCAAUCAAGUUUGGUAACUUAAAACAUCUUCGCUAUAUCUUCAUGAGUUCGAUAGCACAAGACAAGAUAUGUGGGGUCGCAAAACUUUAUCACUUGAUGUUCCUUUACCAUGGUUUUUUUGUUACCAAAAUACAUGAAGCAAGAUAUUUAGGGAACCUUGAAUGCCUGCGGUGUGUAUCCUAUGGUGGUGUGCAUGGAUUUGGUAAUUUUCCUGUAAGCAGGCUCACUUCUCUUCAGGAAUUACAUAAUUAUAUGGUAGAAGAAAGAACAUGCAACAAAAUAAGUGCAAUUGGGAGCUUAAGAGAUCUUCAUGAAUUAGGUCUGCAGGGUCUUGAGAAUGUUAAGAAUUGUGAAGAAGCUAAGAGUGCCAAGUUGAAGGAAAAACAACAUCUCAACUCACUAUUCAUGGAGUGGUCGACACCUGAUCAAAUCAUGACAGAUGAGUUAGUUCUUGACCACCUUGAGCCACAUGUUAAUAUCAAGGUAUUGAAAAUUCAAGGUUACCCAGGUCCCAAAAUUCCAUCUUGGAUAGAGGACAGCUCUGUAAAAAAUCUGGUAUCUCUCAGGUUGAUAAGUUGCAUUAAUUGGGAAUAUCUUCCCUCUCUUGGCGAUUUGGUAUUUUUGAAGUUUCUAAUGUUGGAGGACCUUCGUAAGCUACGUCAGAUUGGUCGAUCAUCUGAUAUGUCUGGUAGUAGCUCCACGGAGUUGCUGUUACCUCAAAGACUUCAUAGUUUGGAAGUAAAUGAAUGCCGAGAACUGAGGGAGUUACCUAUUCUACCUCCAAGCCUAGUGUCACUGAAUAUAGGAGAUGUUUGUCUGACCAAACUUCCUAUUAUUGGAAAGAUACCGAGUGGAAGCAUCGAGCCAAAAUCAUCUAAGUUGACUGAUAUAAUUAUCACCAACUGUCCAUGCUUAACUUCGCUGGAAGGGAGCCUUUUGGAGCAAAAAUUGCACAUGGGAACUCUCGAUGCCCUAAGAAUUAAUAAUUGUCAGGAUCUGCAAUCCGCCCCCAUACCAUUUGAAGAAAUUAAAGAGCUUAAGAUGCUCAUAAUAACGGCAUGUCCAAAGUUGAGGACGAUGAGAGAUGGCAAAGAUAAGCUUGUGCCAUCAUCACUAAGAAACCUUACUAUUGGUCAGUGUGGUGACCUGGAACUUCCACUACUUGAGUCACUCCACCUGCUCACCAACUUAUCUGCACUUAUGCUGGAAAACUGCUCGAGCCUGGUGUCCCUCCCCUCCGGGGAUGUAUUCAAGAGUCUCAGGUCUUUGCAGACCAUGCACAUAAAGGAAUGCGAGAAUCUCUCGUCCUUGGGAGGGCUCGGAUCACUUCCAACCCUCUAUUUCUUAGUAAUUAGAGGGUGCGGUAAACUCGCGGAGGCUGGGUCCUCGCUAACUCGAGUUGCAUCUGGUUCUGGUGGCGAAGACGAGCAUCUGGUGGAGCCCGGUAGCUCACUGGAGAUAACAAAUCUUGACAUUGAUCUGCCGUCCCUGCUGCAUCUUGAGCCACUCAAGAGUCUCUGCCGCACCGAAUAUUUGUGUAUCAAUAACACUGUGUCAGAGAUGGAUAGCUUACCUGAACGAUGGCUGCUACAGAACCGUUCAUCCCUCCGACUGCUGACUAUACCCAAAGCAGAUUCCUUGAGAUCGCUCCCACCCAGAAUGCAAGACCUCUGCUCUCUCCAGGAAUUGUACCUAAUUGAUGCUGGGCAACUCCAGUCACUUCCAUAUCUGCCCUCCUCCUUGAAGGCCCUCAGACUUCCAGGAUGCCAUCCGGACCUGAAGAAGAAGAUUACCAAACAUGGAAGCCCCGAAUGGAACAAGAUUGCUCACAUCCCUUAUGCGGAAAUAGGAGAUUCGCUUUUCAUCAGUGGCAAGAAGAAACACAAAAGGCCUUCACCAAACUAAGUGAUAGUGACCGCAACAGACUUAUGUCCAAGUAACCGCUGCACUAGUGGAAGAAACGGUUCUGUCUCAAGAAUGCUUCGUAUCCCCAGCCUGUUGUUGUUCAACAGAAUGCUGACACGAAGCUACAGUGCCAUCUGAUGAAAGGUCUUCCAGACUCUUAAUUUACUUCAAUUCAACUCCUUGUUCAUCAGAUGCCAAUGUUCUGCCGGAUGACACUUUCUGAAUUGAAGAAUCCGAGGGAACGAAGAAUUCAUGUUCAGCUCAAUUCAGUUGUGCGUGUACAAAUUGCAGCCUAGCUACCUUUCAACCCGCGAGUUGCUUAAAAAAAAUCUCCAUUCUGUUCUAAUUGUAUUGAAUAUAUGUUCAGGUCAGGUUACAAGUUAGGAUUCGGAGUUGUAAUAUGAACAGGGUAAAGUCUGUGCUGCUUAUUUCUGCAAAUGUCUUCAGUUCAGUACAGAUACCGCCUCGUGAGAGAUUGUUGGGGGCAUCAAUUGCUGAAUGAAUGAUCUCGCGAACACAUUUCAAUCAGUACAUGCAAACUUGCGUGCUGCAACAACUCUUCAAAUUAAUCUGGAUUAAUUGGUUGAUUGAUGAUGAUCAAGUACUACCAGGUAGCCUACUGAGACAGAUACGCUGUUGGUGAUGUGCAAUCGUUGUACUUGUACAUGGCUGAUGGCUCUCUGAAGUGCAUGCAUAGUGAUGAUGUUUCGAAGUGACUGACCAAGUGAGUGUGGAUGCAGGGGCGCCACUAUAUAUUCGGUUCUGCACACCCUGAAUAUACGAUGUGAAAGUAAACAAGGCUCCAG